rnacentral:misc_RNA from 1 species
AACUAGGAAUAGAAGCAAAAAAAGCAAACCCAAACUUAACAUAAGUAUUGAAAUAGUGUCUUUACUUCGCUGCUUUCAGUUAAUGUUAAAAAUGUCAUGUUUCUGGAAAAGUGUAUAGCUGUUUACGACAACCAAAAACGUACAGCACGAUUUACCUUACCUACCAAAUGGCGGAUUGUUCUGUUUGAUUACAUUUCUUCCCGGAUUUUUUUCGUUCUCCUUUCUUACAUAGUGUACAUCUUAUUUUACAAUAUGUUUUUAAAGGCUUAAUAUAAUUUAUAAGUAUUCAUUGAUUUAUAAACAUGUUAAGUUCAAUUAUCCCAAACAUCUACGGCGAUACUAUCCUUGCUUCAGUAACGAUCACGAAACGACUCCUAAACAACAAUCACCUAUACUGGAUGAAGCAGAAGAACAACGUACAAGCUCUACAGCACAAGAGCAAAAAGAAACUGGUUACAGCACAAAUUUAUUCAAGGCUGUGAAGAAGGGAGUGAUAGCUGCACUUAUGGGAUCGGCUUCAUCAAUUACAGAUUCUGACUACACCAAAAGUGCAGCCACUUCGACAACAGGUCUUCCAACUGCACGAAUCUCAGCAACAACAUCUACUCCUGCAGCGUCGGUGAGUGAAGCAUUGGGUUUCUAUCGAAUGGAAGAGGAAGUAGGACGUGAAACCCGAAACAUAGAAUUUAAGGCAGCAUACACAACCUUGAGAGAACGUGGCAAUGGGCUGUUUGAUCUUGUGGGCAAGUACGUGUGUGGCUUCCUCAACAGCACAGAAGGUGGAACACUCUACUUUGGUGUUGAUGACUCUGGAAAGGUAAGGGGCAGCCUUUGUUCACGCGGUGAGGAAGACAAAGUGCGUCAGAUUAUCGACCAGUCAAUCAGGACCAUUGAGCCAAGUGUCUUCCCAACUUCCUACAGAGUGCACUUCUGUCCUGUCAUGGAGGAGACUGGAUAUCUCUCAGACAAUCUUCAGGUGCUGGAGAUUGAGGUUUAUCCAACAAAGUCUCAAGGACGUCUUUAUGAUUUCAAAGGACAUAUCUAUAUGAGGCGGGAUGGUAGUCUGCAGGGUCCUUUGAAGGGACGGGAAGUGCAAGAGUGGAUAAGGACGUAUAUGGAAACAGUAACAGCUGCUGAACAUGCCGGGGAGCCGGUGGGCAAGCAGCUGCAUGUGCUGAACAUGCUACUUGCUGCUGAGCAGGACAAGAAUAAAGUUUUGAUGCAGCAAGUUGCUGCUGAACGAGAAAAAAAUGAAGCUCUGACCAAGCAAUUGGAACGACUCUCACAGUACUAGCUGGAUAUUGCAUAUUGUGCACAUGCCAUCUGGAAAUUAUCCCAUAGCUCUGCACAGAUGCUUGAAAAUUGUCUUCCUGUGUACCACCUGCUUGAAACGACACAUCACAGCAAGGUCAGAAAGCAAGAUCUUGUUGGUUGCCUG